rnacentral:lncRNA from 1 species
AUGGGGGAAAGAGGGCACCAGUUACCCACCUGGACCCCAGCCCCACAGGGAGGGGGUGUGGCCAUCAGACCAGGUUGGGCAGUGACGCCUAGAACAAGGCCCCAGGCCUUCCUGCUUGGACACUUUAUCUGCCAGAGGGACAGACAGCUUGCUUUCCUUCCUGUGGCCACAGAAGAACAUCUCGAAAGGUGUGGAUUGGGGCUACUACAAGAUGAGCUUCACAUCUCAGGUUUUUUGCUCAACCCAGGUACCAGCUGACACCCUGGCCCAGUGUUGCUUCCAGGAGUCGAAAGACAGGAGAUGGUUUCAGGGUUGGGCCCUGAAGUGGGGUGUAUGGGAAGGAGGUCCCAAUUGCCAGAAACUGAGGGGUUCUCAGGGGUGGCUUAGGGUAGGAUAUAUCUGUGAUAUCC